CACAUCACCAAUUGCCUUAGUAACUCGACUUGCUUCGGGAUACCGGAUGCCUCGUCCCGAUCGAUGUUCGGAAGAACUAUAUGAGCUCAUGAGUUCUUGUUGGAAAGAAAAUCCUUUGAUGAGACCAGCCUUUUCGCAGAUCGCCCAGCAGCUGAAGAAUUUUUUGCGAGAAGUGAAGAGGACAUAUACAAAUAUCACAGAGUUCAACGAUGGAGAAGCUUGAUGAUAUCCUGACGCUGAAGCAAACACCUCAUUUUAUGUAAUUGAUAGUAGGAAGAUAACCACGAGAUCUCAAAUAAGCACAUAGACUCAAAAAUUUAGAAUCAAUUUUUUUCCUUUGUGGAGGAAAGUUUUCCUCACAAUAAGUACUGCAAAUCGUAGCAUAGAAUAAAACGGUGCAUCCUGUAAUACUUACAAUGCUGAAGUGGCCAAGAAAAAUCAUUGCUAUCGCGUAAAUAGACUAGAUUAACGUGGAUUGCAUUAACUCAGAAAAAAUCUAAGCACGCAUCUGAUCUAGCUUAAAACGGGUCCUCCUUAUCAGUGCUGCCGCACGAGUGCUUUCUUCGCUCGCAGGCAGGCUACUCUUCUUCCGUGCUCUAGCCGCUUCCAACGUGCUUUACAACAGAAUAGAACACAGUCGAGGCUUCUUUAUUUGUUAAAUAAAAGAUGGACCUUUUGAAAGGUAAUGACUUUCGAAUAAACAUUUAACCAUAAAUCAGGGUCACAGAGAGUGUAAGGGGCAGAGUGUGACACGCGACACAAGACAGAAAUAAUCUUCAGCAAAAUAACAUCCUAAAAAGUAUCUUUACCAGAGUAAUGAUAAUCAUAUCACCACGUAA